UACAGAGGGUGCGAGCGUUAAUCGGAUUUACUGGGCGUAAAGGGCCAGUAGGCGGCCAACUAAGUCCGACGUGAAAUCCCAAAGCUUAACUUUGGAACUGCGUCGGAUACUGGAUGGCUUGAAUUCGGGAGAGGGAUGCAGAAUUCCAGGUGUAGCGGUGAAAUGCGUAGAUAUCUGGAGGAAUACCGGCGGCGAAGGCGGCAUCCUGGACCGACAUUGACGCUGAACGGCGAAAGCUAGGGGAGCAAACGGG
rnacentral:rRNA from 1 species